rnacentral:lncRNA from 1 species
CUCGCAGAAAGCAGCUCUGACAGGAACGUUACCUGUUGUCAAGGAUACCGGAAGACGGGACCUUCGGUCGUGCACGUGAAUGACGUCACAGUUCAUUGAUACUCUGUUAUCGGCAAUAAUGAGUCGCUCCACUCCAAUGGAGCCCUUCAGAGAGCUGAUCAUUUCUGCAACGGAGGAGAGGAGCAAGAAGCAACGGGCUGGAACUGGGAAACAAAGUGAAGACUGUCCACUCCUGUGCAGAGAAUGCGUGAAAAUUGUAUGCAUUUCAAAGACGCGACUAAUCAGCUGGGUAGAAGCAUGUGUUUUACAACUGCAACGAGGUUGUCCGCUGUGUGGUCCCUGUGCCACACCUCUGUGA